AUUCUGCCCAUGCGGGGAAGGACGAGAAGCUUCGACCAAGGUUCGACUCGAGCGAAAGCGAGAGAACGUUGCCGCAGGCAACGACCCGAAGGGCGAAGCGCGCAGCGCUGAGUAAUCCUUCCCCCACCACCA
rnacentral:sRNA from 1 species